rnacentral:siRNA from 1 species
UGAUGGACCUUAACAUGAUGGAC